AUUGAACGCUGGCGGCAUGCCUUACACAUGCAAGUCGAACGGCAGCACGGGUGCUUGCACCUGGUGGCGAGUGGCGAACGGGUGAGUAAUACAUCGGAACAUGUCCUGUAGUGGGGGAUAGCCCGGCGAAAGCCGGAUUAAUACCGCAUACGAUCUACGGAUGAAAGCGGGGGACCUUCGGGCCUCGCGCUAUAGGGUUGGCCGAUGGCUGAUUAGCUAGUUGGUGGGGUAAAGGCCUACCAAGGCGACGAUCAGUAGCUGGUCUGAGAGGACGACCAGCAACACGGGGAAUGAGACACGGCCCAGACUCCUACGGGAUGCAGCAGUGGGGAAUUUUGGACAAUGGGCGAAAGCCUGAUCAAGCAAUGCCGCGUGUGUGAAGAAGGCCUUCGGGUUGUAAAGCACUUUUGUCCGGAAAGAAAUCCUUGGCCCUAAUACGGUCGGGGGAUGACGGUACCGGAAGAAUAAGCACCGGCUAACUACGUG
rnacentral:rRNA from 1 species